UCAUGAGCUGCUCCUCUCUCGCGAUUAAUAUCGAUCUCUCUCAAUAGCUGUUCUUCAUUGGACUCGAACUCGAUCUUUCUCACUCUAGCUGUCUUCAUCAAACUCUGUGUGUGUGUGUGUGUGUGUGUGUGUGUGUCUCUCACAAAUCGUAGAUCUGAAAUCGAACAAGAAAGUCGAUCUAAUCUGAUCGAAAUCCAUACUCGAUCUGAUCUGAUCUGAUCUCUCUUGCAUUUUGUUAGAUUUGUUCUUGCCCUAGCUUUUCUUCAUCGAACCCGAACUUGAUCUCUUUCGCAAAUUGUAGAGCCGAAAUUGAACAAGAAAAUCGAUCUAAUCUCAUCAAAAUCCGAACUCGAUCUAAUCUGAUCUCUCACACAUUUUGUUAAAUCUGCUGAUUAACAAGGUUUCAAGCAAGUCAUUUUUAUUUUGGUUUUCAUUAACAAGUGUUAAUAGGUGUUUGAUUUCUUUGUAGGUGGCGAUGAAGUGUAGAGAUCGGUUACAUGAACUUGUAAAGGAAGAGAUAGAGAAAAAGGAUUCGAGUACGGAGGAGUGGAAGAUCGCGAUGGAGAGUAGCUUCAAUCACAUGGACAAUGAGCCACUGGAAUUUCAUGCAACUUGCAUCUAGAGCCUUUAUUUGUAAUCAUCUUUAAAAAAAAAAAAAGAAAAAAAAAGCUAAGGUUGCGGCCAUGGCACUUGCUCAGCACCCAGUUGUGAAUACUACAUGUAAAGAUGGGAAGAGUUUUACUUAUAAUAGCAGUAUAAAUAUUGCAGUUGCUGUGGCAAUUAAUGGUGGGUUGAUAACCCCUGUUCUUCCAAGGUGGUUUGGUGGAUUCCUUUCAUGUAUUCACAUUUCUUCCUCGUAAUUGAAAAGGGUGAACCAAGUUUCCAUCUAUUUGGUUUUAUAAUGUGUCAUGGUGCUACAGCUGCAAGGGCAUUAAAGUCUCUGCUUCAAGGCAUUUUGCUGUCCUCAGAAGGGGAAAAACUAAAUUCUAUGAACCUUCUGUUAUACAUGGCACCAAUAGCUGUUUAGUUCUUAAUUCCUGCUACAUUGUUGAUGGAGGAAAACAUGGUUGGGAUCAUAAUAGCUCUUGCCAGAGAUGAUAUCAAAAUAAUCUUUUAUUUACUCUUCAAUUCUGCCUUGGCAUAUUGUGUGAACUUGACCAAUUUCUUGGUCACCAAACACACCAAUGCUCUGACUCUCCAGGAUUGAGGAAAAUAAAUAUAUAUAAGAACUCAUCAUCUGUGGGGCACCUCUGUGAGAAAGUAUCUAAGCUAUACCCAAAACACUAAAAAUCGCUGGAUGGUUACCAAAAACUGCUCUAAUCUGGCUUCUUGUUGAGUAUUCAAAUCAAGCUUCUUCCUCUAUUUUGUCAGGGUUGAGAAAGAAAUAGAAGAGAGAAGAAAGAUCUCCUUUCACAAGGUUGGAAUAUCCGUGGCACCCCCAGUCAGUUUUCAGGACAUCGUUGCUUCCCACGGAGACUCUGAAGAGGAUAUUGUGGGGUGUCAGUUGCUUACAGAGGCAGUUAAGAAGGUGCAAAUUCAGGUAAAUUGGUCAUAAUGUUCAUGCAAUUACUCAUAUUGGCAUUUUUUCAUUGACAAACUAAUUCCCUGCAAGUUUGCAUCCUUUUGUUAUCUAUCCUUUCUCCUUUAGCACUGUAGGUUCUGUGACAUAACCGUACACUUUAGAUAACUAUUGCAUUGAAUUUAUGUACCAGUUUAUUUGCUUGAAUUUGAUUUGUCCCGGCCUUCUUUGCAUGCUUUUUCUCCCCCAACUUCAUGUAAAACUAAGAUGAAAGAGGAAAACAGACAAAUGAACAAGUCACAGCCAUGAUUCUUUUCCUUUUCUUUUUUUUU